rnacentral:rRNA from 1 species
UGUGCGAUGAAGGCCUUCGGGUUGUAAAGCACUUUUGGCAGGAAAGAAACGGCUCUGGCUAAUAUCUGGAGCAACUGACGGUACCUGCAGAAUAAGCACCGGCUAACUACGUGCCAGCAGCCGCGGUAAUACGUAGGGUGCAAGCGUUAAUCGGAAUUACUGGGCGUAAAGCGUGCGCAGGCGGUUCGGAAAGAAAGAUGUGAAAUCCCAGGGCUUAACCUUGGAACUGCAUUUUUAACUACCGGGCUAGAGUGUGUCAGAGGGAGGUGGAAUUCCGCGUGUAGCAGUGAAAUGCGUAGAUAUGCGGAGGAACGCCGAUGGCGAAGGCAGCCUCCUGGGAUAACACUUUCGCUCAUGCACGAAAUGCGUGGGGAGCAAACAGGGAUUACAUUCCCUGGUAGUCCACGCCCUUAACGA